rnacentral:tRNA from 1 species
UAAAUUAAAGCCAAAAAGAGGCAUUUUAUUGUUAAUAAAAUAAUUGAACUUAAAUAUUCUAAUUUAA